CAGCGUGAAGCGAGGCAAACGAAAAGGACAGUUAGGUAAUAGGAUUAGUGGAGGAAGAGCAAGGACAGGGAAGCAGGCAGAGUGAGAGGCGGGACACACCUGACUGAAUCAGGGAGGGCGGCCUCUCUGCACACAGACGCGCACUCAGUGCUAGCAAGCAGGCGAAGGCAGUUAGCCAGCAGCCAUGACAGACACUGACUCUCUGUGUGAGGCGUUAAAAGCUAUUAGUGUGAGUACAGAGCUGAUUGAAGAAGAGCUCAAGCCUCAUUUGGAUACAGUGCUGGCUGCGCUGCUAGAAAAGAAGAAAGAUGCUGCUAUCGACGUUGCCAAAAGUGGUAUUCUACCCAUACUGGCUCAGGCCUUACAGAGAAAAAGCAGUCUGAGCUGCCAGGUGGCUUUGGUGGUGGCAGAGAUGGCCCGAGAAGCUGCAGUGAGGGAGCCAUGCAUCGAGGCAGGCCUGGUGAAGGUGUUGGUUCCCCAUCUGAACAGCGAUGACCAAGAAAUGCUGCUGAACUCUGGCAGGGCCAUCGGGCGCAUCUGCUUUGACAACUCAUACCAGCAGGACCAGUUGGUCCAGAGUGGUGUAAUCCCCAGACUCGUUUCCAUAAUGAGGGCGUAUCCUGACAACGAUCCACUGGUCAACGUCUGUCUGCUGGCCUUGUGUAACCUGGCAGACAUGGACUCUGCAAGGGAGGCGCUGGCACAGCUGGAUGUUGCAGAUGUACUGAUAUUUCAGCUGAAACAGGCCCCUGAUGCUGAACGCCGACAUGUCAUUUUGGAAAUACUGGGCUCUCUGGGAGAGAGCGAUACUCUGAAACUACAGUUUGCAGAGUCAGGAGUCCCAGAAGCUUUAUCCGAGAUGAUUCGGAGUCUGCAGGGAGGGUCUGACCCACAUGACCUCUGCAGCAUCAAGAUUGCCUCCAACCUAAUGGUGUCCCUGCUUUUAGGGGAUGAGUCCAUGCAGAAGUGUUUUGGUGAAGGAUCAGGUCUGGUGUACCAGGAUGUUCUGUCAUGGCUCCAGAGCUCCAACACCCAACUGCAGCUAUCGGGAGCGCUGGCCAUCGCCAACUUCGCCAGGAAUGACAGUAACUGUGUGAAGAUGCUGGACCUCGGAGUGGUUCCUCACAUCCUGACAUUGUUGGAGCAGCACGUAGAUGAAGGAGACGUAUCUGUUCAACAUGCUGGACUAAGCGCACUCAGAAACCUUGCCAUUCCGGCCACCAACAAAGUGCGAAUGCUGGAGGACGGGGUGACUGACAGAAUAAAGACGCUGCUGCGCUCGGACAUGCCCCCAGUUCAGUUCAAACUGCUGGGCACUCUGCGUAUGAUGGUGGACGGACACGAGGAAGCUGCGUUAGUGCUGGGGAGAGAUGCUGACCUACUCGAUCGGAUCAUGGAGUGGUGCGAAGCCAAGGAUCAUGCAGGAGUCAGAGGAGAAGCCAGUCGCCUGCUGGCUGCUCUCAUCAGACAUAGUCAGAACUCUGAAGUUGUCCGUGAGGUAGCCAGAGCCAAUGGAAUUCGGCAUCUUAUUUCUAUGGCAUCAAGUGAACAUGUCAUCAUGCAGAAUGAAGCCCUGGUUGCCCUGGCAAUUGCAAGUGCCAUUGACAUUGAGUCUAUGAAGGAUCCAUUUGGGGAGGCAGACCUGUUACCCAUGCUGAAGAAGAUGUUGGAGGAUCCUGUGGGAGCGGUCGAGGUCAAGUUCAGUGCUUUAGGUCUCAUUUGCAGCCUGGCUAACUCCAGUGUCAUGAAGGAGGCGUUGAACUCUGUGAAUAUGAAGGAAAGCAUCAGUAAACUCACAGAUCAUAGCAGCAGUAAACUUGCCUCACAGGCCAGCUCCAUACUGACCCUCCUGGGUGACACCAGCUAAACCAGCAUCCUGCAGCAACAGGGACCCAUCAGCUGUAUGGAUUUAUCGAGCUUAUUCAGUGGCAUACUUAAACGACAGAUAUUUUACUGCACAAAUAUUGCAAAGUAUUGAACUGGCUUCUUGUCACCUGUUCUGUAAAAAUGAAGGGCCCUUUUUAGUCCCGGUGUGUGCAUGUGUGGCAGGCAACAGAUUAUAGGAGUAUUUGAGUUACGUGUUUGAUUUGCUCAACAUUAUCUUUACACUGCACAAUUCAGACAUCAUCUAAGCUCAUUUAUUUAGGUUUUCCUGUGAGUAGUAAUGAGACAUUUAUGAAUCAGAUGGUCUGCAAUGAGUAUGUAUGUGGGGCUCAAAGGUAACGACUGAAUGAAUAGCCACAGAAAAAGUAUCCAGUCUCAGGCAGUCAUGUACCAUGACUAGCAACAUCGUAGACAUUUCACAAAGAUAGCAAAAAGAAAGGGUAAGAGGGCAGGUGAAGUUAACUGGAGAACACAUGUUAGGUGCACCGAGUUCUACAGUAUUCUGGACCAAAGGGGAUGGAUGGAGAAAUUUACUAAGAGCCACCUGAUGGAGGCGCAUGUGCACAGGUGUGGAGGGCACACAAAAGUUACGAAUAAAACCUCAGUGCUAAUAUCUGUAACUCCAGUACCCGGUCAUUGGCAAAGAUUUUAUUAUAAUAUAUGUUCAUGUUAUAUAAAGUGUUAUUGAAUAUCACUGAAUGCGAGCACCACAGUGGUGCAGUGGAAGCUCUUUCUGCGUUGCGAUUCCAAGCUUGUAAUCUAAUCCAAGUGCUGCACAGGAAGUAGGAUGUCAGUAAACGGUACCAAUAAUUUAAGAACAAUUGAAAUACUCGGGGGGGCACUCUGGACAGGACCCCAGCCUGACGCAGAGAUAAGUAAUAAUGUAGAAAUGAUCAUAUUAAAUGCACUGGGGAAAAUGGGACAAACUGGAACUAGUCUGAAGCCGAGAAAGCUGAUGAGAAGAGGAAUGUGUUUGGGUGAACACAAACCAAGCAUUUAUAAUUCUCAAAAUUAAUGUUCUAAUUACAAGAAAAAGAUGAAGAGCUGCCAACAGUGCUGGUUAGGGCGGGAACAUGCUCAGACUGAGGAAAUGCACCAGUGAGUAUUUGUGCUAUUGAGGCCUUGACAGCCUCCUGAUAUUUGUUAAAAUUUCAUAAGACACUGCAAGCUCUCCUGCACUGAGUGCCCUUCAUUUAAGGCGGUAUGACCUCAAAGGACAGCAGUGCAGACAGCGUUAAACCGAUGUAGAGAUAGAGCCUCACACUUCAGCACAUAUUCUGCAAAUGGGCCAAGCCAGCUGAUCACAAACGAGAGAGUGCAGCAUGGUCACGACUCUUACUUCAGCAACCUUGAUUUUAAAAGGCUGGCACGUGGUGAGAGAAAGUAGCAUCCUCAGCGUUGCAUGUACACACAGAUUUGACAAGUAAAAGAACCAAAUGAAGCGUCUCAGCUCGUAUGACCGACGCACGUGCUGGUGAGCCGAUACUAACGGGGAACAAUCAUAAAAUCACCAAGAAUGAAAAUAUUAGUCAGGUAAACGUUUCAGUGAGAAAGCCAAGAAAACCUUUGCUGGGCUCUAGCAGCUUGUGAACAGGGAAUGGUAAUUCCUCAACAGGUUGACCAGCCAGCUUUGCAAAGUAUGGAGAGAGAACCCUGCUGUUAGAUAACUGCCACUUCUAAUGUGGCCAUCGGUCAUGUGCGUAGUUGUCUGUCUCUGUGUGACUGGUGACCUGUUCAGGGUGUACCCCGCUUCUCAACAUAUGUGGGAUAAGCUCACACCCACCACGGCCCUAAAUCGGAUAAGCAUUAGAAAAUGGAUGGAUCGGAUGUUAUUGAAUAUGCAGCCAGAAUAGUUCACCAAACAAACGGACCUUUUUCUCAAUAUCCCGAAGGUGAAGAAGUGACGUGUUUGCAUCACUGAUUAAAAGAAACUUUGACGAUAUCAAGGAACUUGUUUUGUCAUGCCGGUGAUAUGAAGUGUGAUGAUUCUGAAGCAAUAUUGUUUGACCUAAAGUAGUUUUAUUUUAAUUACUCCAGUAACAAAACGACCUACUGGAUAAGAUUGUGAUGUACAAGUGAAUGUGCAAUGCUCUGGUUUGUCUGUAUUGUGGCAGCUGAGGUGAUGUUUCUAUUUAUUUUCUGAUAGGUUGAACCUGUUGAAGAUGACACAGUCUACGUUUUAUAAUAAGCCUGUCAGCUACUAUCAAACCAGGCUGUCUGUAAAUCACCAGUGAUAUUCUGAUGAGUGGACUCAAACAUUAAAACUUGCUUUAUGGCAUAUACUCUUCCAAUAAGAACUGCAACAGAUGUGAAGGAUGAACAUACAAAUAACAGCAACAAAGGAAGAGCCUGAGAACAGCCUCUGGCUAUGAGAUUACUCAACAGACUAAUGGGGCUCGAGCAUAACAGCAAUAUCCAUACCUACAAUCCAUUUUAAAGGAAGCACAAUGUGAAGAAGAUAUUCAAUACACUGCACUUUUUAACAUUUGUAUAUAAACUAAACAUUCUUAUGUAGUAGCAACACUUUUUCAGUGUGCAUCUGUAGCUGGGUCAUUUUGGGGAGUGGCUAGCAUGUGUGUUCUGUACAACAUAAAGUGAAUAAUGUGCUGAUGGGCGUGAAGCACACUUUUGCUGUGAUGUUUAAUGUAAUAUUUGUGUGAAAGUAUGUUCUGGAUGUAACUACAAAUCACUCAACAUGCGUGAACAGAUCUGUAUUUAUAGGGAGGGCAUUUUUUUGGCCUUUUAGAAGCUUUGUUCUAGAGUGAAAACAAUAAAGUUAUACAGUGUCUUCCUCUA